UACGGAGGAUGCGAGCGUUAUCCGGAUUCAUUGGGUUUAAAGGGUGCGUAGGUUGUUUUAUAAGUUAGCGGUGAAAUACCGAUGCUCAACAUCGGGGCUGCCGCUGAUACUGUAGGACUAGAGAUCGGAUGCAGCAGGCGGAAUGUGUAGUGUAGCGGUGAAAUGCAUAGAUAUUACACAGAACACCGAUUGCGAAGGCAGCUUGCUAGGCCGGAUCUGACACUGAUGCACGAAAGCGUGGGGAUCGAACAGG
rnacentral:rRNA from 1 species